rnacentral:rRNA from 1 species
CCCUACGGGGCGCAGCAGUCGGGAAUAUUGCGCAAUGGAGGCAACUCUGACGCAGUGACGCCGCGUAUAGGAAGAAGGUUUUCGGAUUGUAAACUAUUGUCCUCAGGGAAGAAAAAAGACUGUACCUGAGAAGAAAGCUCCGGCUAACUACGUGCCAGCAGCCGCGGUAAUACGUAGGGAGCAAGCGUUAUCCGGAAUUAUUGGGUUUAAAGGGAGCGUAGAUGGGUUGUUAAGUCAGUUGUGAAAGUUUGCGGCUCAACCGUAAAAUUGCAAUUGAUACUGGCAGCCUUGAGUACAGUUGAGGU